rnacentral:lncRNA from 1 species
AUGAAGGCCCUAUCUCUUGGGUGAUUAGCCUUUGUUUAAAUACAAAGAGGAAUCUACAAAGGUAUAUAUAUUUCAACUCACUUUGUUUUGAGUUGUUUAUUGGUUCACCAAUCUACUAGGCUUUGAAUUUCUUGGUUAAUGUUUUGUUUUUAAGUGCAUGCUAGCAUGAUUCCGCCUUUAAUUGUUAAUUGCAUGCUAUAUGAUGUUGCUUAAAUGAACAUGUUUUCACAAAAUAUUCCUUCAAGUGGUAUCAGAGCCUAGGUCUAGUAGUUGGUGAAUCCUUUUGGGUUUUGUAGUUCAUAGUUUGUGAUUUAAAAGUUGUAAUAUGUUACAAGCUUUAUUCUUGUUUUUUGAAUGUAAAUUUUGCUAGAAAAUUUGCCAUCUCAAAUGUUGUAGAUGUAGUUCAUAUGAGCAUGAAUAUUGGAGCUAAAAUUUGGUGCCAUGACUUUGGGGAUUUUCGGCCAAAUCCAAAGGGUGGAUUUUUGGGUUCUUGUUUGACUUGUUAAAUGUGUUUUCAAGUGACUUUUGGAACCCCUAUGUACCCUAGUUUGGUUAGAUGUUAUUUCCCUUAAGUUUGAAUGGUUUUGGAAUUUUUUUUGGGUGGAAAAAGUUCAUGGAAAAAUUUUGGGUUUUUCAUGAAUGUUCUUCAUUGUUCUUGACAUUUUUGCCAAGAACAAAAAAGGUUUGUGUUUUGAUUCAAAGUUUUGAUUUAUUUCAUAAAGUUUAUGUUUUAUGUUUUUCAAAUGUUUAAAUGUUUUAGAUAUUUUUUUAAAUGGCAAUAGAAAUAAUGGUGGGUGUGAAAGGAUUAAAACCCUUUCACACACACCACUUGCACCACUUGUUGCUUUAUGUCUAAAACUCACAAAUCAACACACACAUCACUCAUAUCCUCUUCCAAAACCGGCCACCCCCUAGUGGGGGUACUUUUGGGGCCUUUUAUGCAAUUACAUAAAGUUUUGAUACUUUUGUGUAUUUGCACUUUGGCCCAAAAGUUUACGUUUUUACGUUUAGGUCCAAAAACGCUAAAGGACAAAUUGUUUUGCUCCUUUAAUGAAGUUUUUGCAUUGAUUAAAUUUUGGGUUCUAGUGUAAUUACAUGAAGUAGUGGACUUUUGUGUCUUUACAAAGUGACCCCAAAAGUUUUGCAAUAUAGCCCAAAAGUUGAGGUUAAUUGCUUUAUGGCCCAAAAGUUGUGGUUAUUGCAUAUUGGCCCAAAUUAGAUAGAGAACAAAAUUGUUUUGUCUCUUUAAAUGAGAAUUGGAUUUUCAUUUUGUUUAGCUCCAUUUAAAUCAAUUUUAUGGAUACAAAAAAAACCAAAUGAAAAUGUUGCAUUCAAUUUAAUUAGUUAAAGUGUUAAUUAAUUAAAGGGUGAUUAUGAAC